UACGUAGGGGGCAAGCGUUGUCCGGAUUUAUUGGGCGUAAAGAGCGUGUAGGCGGCCAGGUAGGUCCGUUGUGAAAACUGGAGGCUUAACCUCCAGCUGUCGAUGGAAACCAUCUGGCUAGAGUCCGGAAGAGGAGAGUGGAAUUCCUGGUGUAGCGGUGAAAUGCGCAGAUAUCAGGAGGAGCACCGGUGGCGAAGGCGGGUCUCUGGGCCGAAUGACUGACGCUGAGGAGCGAAAGCGUGGGGGAGCGAACAGG
rnacentral:rRNA from 1 species